AAAAAAGGUAAGCUACUAAGAGCGAAUGGUGGAUGCCUUGACUGGUAAAGGCGAUGAAGGACGUACUAGACUGCGAUAAGCUACGGGGAGCUGUCAAGAAGCUUUGAUCCGUAGAUUUCCGAAUGGGGCAACCCAAUGUAUAGAGAUAUACAUUACCUAUAUAGGAGCGAACGAGGGGAAUUGAAACAUCUUAGUACCCUCAGGAAAAGAAAUCAAUAGAGAUUGCGUCAGUAGCGGCGAGCGAAAGCGCAAGAGGGCAAACCCAGUGCUUGCACUGGGGGUUGUAGGACUGCAAUGUGCAAGAGGUGAGUUUAGCAGAACAUUCUGGAAAGUAUAGCCAUAGAGGGUGAUAGUCCCGUAUGCGAAAAACAAACCUUAGCUAGCAGUAUCCUGAGUAGGGCGGGACACGAGGAAUCCUGUCUGAAUCCGGGUCGACCACGAUCCAACCCUAAAUACUAAUACCAGAUCGAUAGUGCACAAGUACCGUGAGGGAAAGGUGAAAAGAACUGAGGUGAUCAGAGUGAAAUAGAACCUGAAACCAUUUGCUUACAAUCAUUCAGAGCCCUAUGUAGCAAUACAGGGUGAUGGACUGCCUUUUGCAUAAUGAGCCUGCGAGUUGUGGUGUCUGGCAAGGUUAAGCAAACGCGAAGCCGUAGCGAAAGCGAGUCUGAAUAGGGCGCUUAGUCAGAUGCUGCAGACCCGAAACGAAGUGAUCUAUCCAUGAGCAAGUUGAAGCUAGUGUAAGAACUAGUGGAGGACUGAACCCAUAGGCGUUGAAAAGCCCCGGGAUGACUUGUGGAUAGGGGUGAAAGGCCAAUCAAACUUCGUGAUAGCUGGUUCUCUCCGAAAUAUAUUUAGGUAUAGCGUUGUGUCGUAAUAUAAGGGGGUAGAGCACUGAAUGGGCUAGGGCAUACACCAAUGUACCAAACCCUAUCAAACUCCGAAUACCUUAUAUGUAAUCACAGCAGUCAGGCGGCGAGUGAUAAAAUCCGUCGUCAAGAGGGAAACAACCCAGACUACCAGCUAAGGUCCCUAAAUCUUACUUAAGUGGAAAACGAUGUGAAGUUACUUAAACAACCAGGAGGUUGGCUUAGAAGCAGCCAUCCUUUAAAGAAAGCGUAAUAGCUCACUGGUCUAGUGAUUUUGCGCGGAAAAUAUAACGGGGCUAAAGUAAGUACCGAAGCUGUAGACUUGCGCACAACUUAGAUUAUUUAAGUUUAGAAUAUGAGAAACUAAGUUAUAUGUUUAGUUAUAUUUUUACUGAUUUUUAUAGAGUAAAGAUAGAAAUAAAACUUAGUAAAAUCAGUAAAAAUAUUCUUAGAUUAAAGUUAAGUAGUUUAAGUUGUGUGCAAGUGGUAGGAGAGCGUUCUAUUUGCGUCGAAGGUAUACCGGUAAGGAGUGCUGGAGCGAAUAGAAGUGAGCAUGCAGGCAUGAGUAGCGAUAAUUAAUGUGAGAAUCAUUAACGCCGUAAACCCAAGGUUUCCUACGCGAUGCUCGUCAUCGUAGGGUUAGUCGGGUCCUAAGUCGAGUCCGAAAGGGGUAGACGAUGGCAAAUUGGUUAAUAUUCCAAUACCAACAUUAGUGUGCGAUGGAAGGACGCUUAGGGCUAAGGGGGCUAGCGGAUGGAAGUGCUAGUCUAAGGUCGUAGGAGGUUAUACAGGCAAAUCCGUAUAACAAUACUCCGAGAACUGAAAGGCUUUUUGAAGUCUUCGGAUGGAUAGAAGAACCCCUGAUGCCGUCGAGCCAAGAAAAGUUUCUAAGUUUAGCUAAUGUUGCCCGUACCGUAAACCGACACAGGUGGGUGGGAUGAGUAUUCUAAGGCGCGUGGAAGAACUCUCUUUAAGGAACUCUGCAAAAUAGCACCGUAUCUUCGGUAUAAGGUGUGGUUCGCUUCGUAUUAGGAUUUACUCCGAAAGCGAAGAAACUUACAACAA
rnacentral:rRNA from 1 species